AUGAACAGCUGUGAUCAUUGUAAUGUAUUUUGUCUCUGCUGUGUAGUCUGUUGUCCAGCGGAGGGUUCCAGAAACUGCGGGAUGGCUUUCGAAGGUCGUUUCAGGAUGGCCAGCCAUUCUGGAUCAAGCUCAAGCUUCACGUAGGAGCUUCCUCCACAAUCUGCAAUCUGCAAUGACAAAACAACUGAAUCUACCUCUGGAUCUCACUUCAUACUGAAACAUGCUGGAUGACGGAAACAGCAGGAUCAAUAUCUGAAGGAAGAAAUUCGUCAUCACAGAGUGACAGUGAAGGAGGACCCACCUGGUGCUGCAUCAGUGUUGAGUCGAGUGCAGGUGAGCAGAGAUCCAGUAUCUGGACUGCAAGUGCUCUAGAAGCUCAGCAGCAGCAGCAGGGCUUCCCAAAGUACUGCUCUUCACUUCCUGUCUGAGGAGCUUCUUCCUGCGCACAAGAGCAUUCAUGUUACUGUACUGAUACAUGCCUCAAGAAUAAUCAUGCAGCAGGAAGAGGACUUUGGGCAUCUACAUCUGGAGAAAUUCAGUGAGAAUGUUUUUAUUUCAUUAGAGAGGAGUCUGAUGUGUAUUAAAUCUAUUCUAAUUCAUUUGCAGUUCUAGUAGUUUUUAACACAACAGUAAAUCUGACUGCUUGACACUGAAAACUGCAUUUAUAAAAUGUGUUGCAAUAAUUAUAAAACACCAAAUGUCAUUUACUAUAAACAAACUAGGUCAAAUUGAAAGUCCCCCUCCUGUGCACAACAAUGGAACUGUCCAACUGUUGCUUUCCACUUUACUUUUACUUCACUUUAUUUAAUCAAAUGUGUAGAGUCUUCACUGCUCAUCAUUGCUGAUCUGUACUGUACACACCAGCUACUGGGAGAGAAUGAUUCAGCAUUUUUAUUGUGCAAAGUGUUUUCUAUGGGGGGGAUUAAUGCAGCAUAAAUUCAUGAAGUC
rnacentral:lncRNA from 1 species